CCCCGCCCGAGGUCCAGUGGAGCCGCGCACUGAGCCCGCCCCCGACCACCCUCUCCCUCUCCCCUCCCGUCGCCGCCGCCCCCUUCCCCCGCCGGCGCGCUCUCCCCCCUCCGCCGCCGCCGCCGGACCACGCCCCCCGCUGCCGGUCCGACUCGAUCCGGCCGGCCCCGACCCGCCAAGCCGCGCCGGAGAUCGAGGAGGGCUCGCCCGAGGCCCCGCGGCGACCGGGGCCCCCGGCAAUUCCGCCGCCAGUGAGGCGCGGAGGAACCUCCCCUCGCCCGCCCGUGCUCCCUCCCUCCCUCCCUCCCGCCCCGCUCCAGGGAAGGAAGGGAAAGAACGCAUCUUGGAAGGACGAUUUGUCCGUCCGUCCUCGUCGCCGUCCCCCAGCCGGUGCGGUGGGUCGGCUCGCUCGCCCUGCUCCGCUCACCUCAGCUCACCUCAGCUCACGGGGCCGGAUUUGGUGUGGCGGUGCGGGUGCGGUUGGGGUGCGAAUUAAAAAAGGGCGAGGAGAGGGGGAGUGGUUAGUUCUUCCCUACUCCUGGCCGCUUGCAGCGGGAGCGCUAGCUGCUUCGUUGUCCCGCUCGUGCCAUUAAAGGCGUCCCCUUCCUCCCUCCGCCCCCCUCUCUCUCCCCGGUGGUUGGGUUCUCGGAAGAUCUGCGGCGGUUCUCGGCAGGGGUUUGGGCGGAUUCGAGGAACAAGACGGGGGCCGGGUCUGAUUCGCCGUGGUAUUUAUGUGCCAUGAGGAAGCUCUUCUUCUCCGAGUUGACCUCCUGCAAGGAGACCAAGCUGCAGUCCGCCACCCACUCAUGGCUGCCCAUGGACAAAGGCAAGCUCUCCAAGUUCACCGGCCACUCCAGCUCCUCCUCCUCCAUAGAAUCUCUGAUGAAAAUGCCGGAGCCGCCGGUCCUCCCGCACUUCAAGCCCGCUGACUACGUCGACAUACUGGCCCAGAUUCACGAGGAGCUGGAGUACUGCCCUCCUGACGAGAAGUCGUGCCUGUACCUGCUCCAGUUCCAGGUCUUCCGCGGGCUUGGCGAGGCCAAGCUGUCGCGAAGGAGCCUCCAGGCUGCCUGGGAGAAGGCGAGCACGAUACACGAGAAGCUCAUAUUCGGGGCAUGGCUCAAGUACGAGAAGAGAGGGGAGGAGCCGAUAUCCGACCUUCUUGGCUCGUGCGGCAAGUGCUCUCAAGAGUUCAAGCUGCUGGAUUUCGUCUCGCAGAUCUCCGCCGAGUCGCACGGGAUAAGCUAUGACGACGAAUCUGAUGAGUUCCAGGGCUCCCCGGUGGUUCAUUUCCGGAUAAGGGAUGACAUGAUUGCCUGCGAUAGGCGGAAGCUUGCGGCCUUGUCAACUCCACUGUAUGCGAUGCUUAACGGUGGGUUUAAGGAGUCACAUCUUGAGGUCAUUGACAUGUCUCGUAAUGGCAUCUCCCCUAUUGGCAUGCGGGCCAUCAGUAAAUUCAGCCUGUCAGGAAGACUACCGUAUUUGUCAGCAGAAUCUAUCUUGGAGAUGCUUGAUUUUGCUAACAAGUUCUGCUGUAAGGGCCUCAAGGAUGCCUGCGAGCAAAAGCUUGCUUCUUUUGUUUCUUCCAGGCAGGAUGCCAUAGAUUACAUGGAGUGUGCUAUUGAGCUGGGCUGUUCCAUCCUUGCCGCGUCAUGCUUGCAGGUGCUCCUGAAUGAGCUUCCAGAAUGCUUGAAUGAUGAGCAAGUGGUUCGGAUAUUCUCCUCUGCGAAUAAGCAGCAGAGAUCCACUAUGGCUGGCAAUGCAUCUUUCUCCCUAUAUUGCCUUCUUGGUGAAGUCUCCAUGAGCAUCAGUGCAACGUCAGAUGUCACCGUAAGCUUCUUGGAGAAGCUGGUUGACUCGGCAUCGGAUUCUAGACAGAAGCAGUUGUCCUUGCAUCAGCUGGCUUGCGUGAGGCUGCUAAGGAAAGAUCAUGCUGAAGCGGAGCGCCUGUUCAAUGCCGCCUUUACCGCUGGUCAUGUCUACUCGGUAGUGGGGUUGGCUAGAUUGGCCUCUCUGAGGAGCAAUAAGCAUUAUUCUCUCAACUUGCUUGACUCUGUGAUGUCAUCUCGCUGGCCUCUUGGGUGGAUGUAUCAAGAGAGAGCCCUAUAUCUGGACGGUGAUAGCAAGCUGGAGAAUCUCAAUAAGGCUACUGAACUGGAUCCUACCCUUACAUACCCCUAUAUGUUUCGAGCUGCAUCUUUGAUGAAAAGGCAAAGUGUUGAAGCUGCCCUGAUGGAGAUUAACCGGAUCCUGGGGUUCAAGCUGGUCCUGGAAUGCUUAGAGCUAAGGUUCUGUUGCUACCUUGCUCUAGAGGACUACAGAGCUGCCUUAUGCGAUGUACAGGCAAUCCUCACGCUUGCUCCAGAUUAUCGUAUGAUUGGUGGUCGGGUGGCUGCGAAGCAGCUGCGUACACUUGUGAUGGAGAAUGUAGAGCAAUGGACGACUGCUGAUUGCUGGAUGCAGCUUUAUGAUCGGUGGUCCUCUGUGGAUGAUAUUGGAUCCCUCUCGGUCAUAUAUCAAAUGCUGGAGUCAGAUGCUGCUAAGGGAGUACUCUACUUCAGACAAUCUUUGCUACUUCUCAGAUUAAAUUGUCCUGAGGCUGCAAUGCGCAGCUUGCAGCUUGCUCGCGAGCAUGCGGCAAGCCAGCAUGAACGACUUGUUUAUGAAGGAUGGAUACUGUAUGAUACUGGCCACUGCGAGGAAGGAUUGCAGAAAGCGGAAGCAUCCAUUGCCAUACAGAGAUCAUUUGAGGCAUUCUUUCUAAAAGCUUAUGCUUUAGCUGAUUCGAGUCUUGAGCCGUCAACCUCAGCAACAGUCGUAUCGCUUCUUGAAGAUGCAUUACGGUGUCCCUCAGAUAGACUUAGGAAGGGCCAGGCUUUGAAUAACCUUGGGAGUGUUUAUGUGGAUUGCGGGAAUCUAGACUUGGCAGCUGAAUGCUACAUUAACGCUUUAAAGAUUGGCCACACGAGAGCUCAUCAAGGCCUCGCCAGGGUUCAUUUCCUUAGGAAUAACAGGACCGGUGCAUUCGAGGAAAUGACCAAGCUGAUAGAGAAGGCCAGGAGCAAUGCAUCAGCAUACGAGAAGAGGUCUGAGUAUUGUGACCGGGAUCUAACAAAAGCUGAUCUGCAGAUGGUCACCAAACUUGACCCCCUCCGGGUCUACCCCUACAGAUACCGUGCUGCUGUUCUGAUGGACAACCACAAGGAGAAAGAUGCCAUCUCAGAGCUGACCAAGGCAAUCGCCUUUAAGGCGGACCUGAACCUGCUCCACCUGCGUGCGGCCUUCCAUGAGCACGUGGGCGACAUCUCAGGCGCCCUCCGGGACUGCCGUGCAGCACUUUCCGUGGACCCCAACCACCAGGAGAUGCUCGAGCUUCAUCACCGGGUGAACAGCCAAGAACCCUGAGCCCGUUGUUGUACAUACAGGAGGGGCUCCCAUAGCGAAAACCCAUACCAGUGUAUGUUCUGUACCAUACGCAGCAAGCAGUAAUUUUUAGUUUUGAUGGUGUCUAGUGCGGCUGUAAGGAUUGUGAUCAUCAAAACGACUAAAAUUAAGCCACGUGCUAUAUGGAAAAUAUUACAUUCCACCUGUGUCACUUGGCUACACUAACUGGGCAAUAGGCUUCAGCAUGCAACAAUACACUGCAUACUGCCGAUUGAACCGAAGGCCUGGCUGUUGUGUUCUUCAGUUUUUGGACUGCUGUAAGAUCCACUUCAUUUGUGUUAGUACUUAGUAGUGAAUCUGUUGCGACAUGCAAUUUGAUAUGUCCAUUGUGUAACCAUUUUCGUACUUUGUAAACUGCUGAAUAGCACUAUUAGUUGAUCCUCAGGCUGCAGAUGUAAAGAUAGUCCAUGUAGUUGUCUUUGUGUGAUUAACUAUGGUUAGGGCCUGCAAAUUGGAUAUCAUUUCUGAUUAUCAUGGUCGGUAAACUGGUAAAUAACACUACUAAUAGUUGCAUAUGGUUGAAGACUGGAAUGAUCUGCAUGAGUUGGUUACCACUGCAUGUUAUUCCCCUGAUGGACAGGUUGCAAUGGUGGCCUGGUGGGAUCUCACAAGGGAAGCUGCCAUUUAUUUGAUACAACUGUUUGCUCAAGGAAGCUCCUGGCAAGUCCUGACCACUUCUGCAGAUUCAAGAAUCCGUGUUGUUAAUGGCUAUGGGCUUGUUCACAAAUUUUUAAAGGGGUUCAGCAAUACCAGAAGCCAGAUCUCAGCUUCUGUAGCUCCAGAGUGUAAAUUUGUAGUCUGUGCAAGUGAGGGCUCCCAUGUGUUAAUGUGUAUGUCUGGAGACAUGGCAACAGUCCCCGUCCAAGCAGAAGCAGGAGUCCAUGAUGUAGCUGUCCAACUCGCAUGCCCAGUAUCAUUUGAGCGUCGUAGCAGCAGGCAGCCAGACACAGCGAUUCAGACGGUGCAGUGAACUCUGUCCCUGAAGCUCCUGUACAACACGGUGAGCAUGAACCGAAUGGGGCUGCUCACAGAUGCAUCAAGAGCCCAGUUCGCGAAGCUGGUUCAAAGCAAAAACACCAGCAAUCAUCCAGUUGAAGCACUGUCCCCAUCCUUGCCCGACGAACAACCACCGUCUGCCAAGAGCAGUCGUAGUCGUGGCUGUCCAGCGCCUGUCCGCGUGGGGUUUGGUAUUUGUCACCUCAGGACGAGGAGAAAUCAGAGUGUUCCUGAAUUCUGGUUUCCCUAUUCGAGUGUAAGAGCGUGGAGCUGUUGGUUUCUUUACUGUAUAGUUAUCUUUUAUUUCUUCACCAGUUCACCUAGAAUCUCAGCUAUUUGGAAGUUCUGGGGACUGGUUAGCAUGCUACGUUUUUCUAGUUUGGUCAAAAUUUGUCUUGUUACAUAGUAGUAUUGUUACAUAAUAUUUCAUUCAUUUUUUUUUUGUGUGUAUCAUGAUGUUUCUUUUAGGACUUUGAUAACUGGCGAACAUCAGAUUUGUUUUUGAUGGGGUACGCCAGAUUUUCAAGCAUGACAAAUGAACCUUUUGUUAUGGCAAUUUCCAUGUUCGUUUUUUUUGCUGGAAUUUGCCGUGAUUGUUAAAAGAAAUUGCCAAAAAAGUGUGAUUUGCCAUGCUUAGCCAGUGAACUUCAUAUUUUUUAACAUUUCUGUCCUUUUAUGUGCAGGUAAAAUGAGAGGGUACUUGUCAGAUGUUUAUCUACUUUUAUGCGGUUUCUUCAUUUUUUG
rnacentral:rRNA from 1 species